AGAGUUGAUCCUGGCUUAGGACGAACGCUGGCGGCGUGCUUAACACAUGCAAGUCGAACGGGAGUAUUGAAGAAGCUUGCUUAGAGAUACUUUAGUGGCGGACGGGUGAGUAACGCGUGAGGAGCUGUCCUAUGCAGGGGGACAACAGCUGGAAACGGCUGCUAAUACCCCAUAAGCCGAGAGGUAAAAGGAUCAAUCCGGCAGAGGAGGUACUCGCGUCCUAUCAGCUAGUAGGUGAGGUAACGGCUCACCUAGGCGAAGACGGGUAGCCGGCCUGAGAGGGCGAACGGCCACACUGGAACUGAGAUACGGUCCAGACUCCUACGGGAGGCAGCAGUGGGGAAUAUUGGGCAAUGGGGGGAAAAACCCCCUGACCCAGCGACGCCGCGUGGGUGAAGAAAUCCUUCGGGAUGUAAAGCCCUGUUGUAUGGGAAGAGCGGAAGACGGUACCAUACGAGGAAGCCCCGGCAAACUACGUGCCAGCCGCGGC
rnacentral:rRNA from 1 species